UGGUUCCGCCCGGAUCGAACGAGAACCUUUCAUGGUGUAAAGUGAAUGUGUAACCACUCAGCUACGGAACC